CACUCCUACGGGAGGCAGCAGUGGGGAAUUUUGGACAAUGGGCGAAAGCCUGAUCCAGCCAUGCCGCGUGCAGGAUGAAGGCCUUCGGGUUGUAAACUGCUUUUGUACGGAACGAAACGGCCUUUUCUAAUAAAGAGGGCUAAUGACGGUACCGUAAGAAUAAGCACCGGCUAACUACGUGCCAGCAGCCGCGGUAAUACGUAGGGUGCAAGCGUUAAUCGGAAUUACUGGGCGUAAAGCGUGCGCAGGCGGUUAUGUAAGACAGUUGUGAAAUCCCCGGGCUCAACCUGGGAACUGCAUCUGUGACUGCAUAGCUAGAGUACGGUAGAGGGGGAUGGAAUUCCGCGUGUAGCAGUGAAAUGCGUAGAUAUGCGGAGGAACACCGAUGGCGAAGGCAAUCCCCUGGACCUGUACUGACGCUCAUGCACGAAAGCGUGGGGAGCAAACAGGAUUAGAUACCCGAGUAGUCCC
rnacentral:rRNA from 1 species